GACAGAGGGGGCAAGCGUUGCUCGGAAUCACUGGGCGUAAAGGGCGCGUAGGCGGGAUGGCAAGUCGGUCGUGAAAUCCUUCGGCUCAACCGAAGAACGUCGGCCGAUACUGCCGUUCUUGAGGGAUGCAGAGGAGAUUGGAAUUCCCGGUGUAGCGGUGAAAUGUGUAGAGAUCGGGAGGAACACCGGUGGCGAAGGCGGGUCUCUGGCCUGUUCUUGACGCUGAGGCGCGAAAGCUAGGGUAGCAAACGGG
rnacentral:rRNA from 1 species